UCCACAUCCCCCUGCCUUUUCCGAGAAAAGGACAGUUAGUGCCUGGACCAGGACCAUCACACUGGGGACCGGCUUCUCUGCUCUCCCGUUAUGGGGGUCGGGGGAAUGAUGGGUCAAGGGUCUUCCGAAGAAAGCGAGAAAGGAACAGGCGCCUUCAAAAGCCCACUUGGCGAUGGGUUACAGUAAGAGGAAGUCUGCAUUAUCACGAGGAGCUUGGAAAGGAGGUAACACACUCAAGGCAAAUUUCAAGUAACUCAUCCUGGAGGCAGCUGCCUACUCUGCAGCUGUGGUUCUCCACCACAGAGAGAAGAAAAGGGAGGGAGAUGGAGUGCGCAGGUCUGAGAAGGCUUUCAUUCUGGAGCAUCUGCAGGAGCCUGCACCAUGGCCCAGUAGCACCCCUUUUUCUCCAUGAGCUGCUGGUGGGUUCCCCCCUCCCGGAUAGCGCCUCCUUCCAGAAAGAGGAUGUGGUCAGCCUGCUCCACCAGGCUGAGGUGCUGGGUGAUGAGAAGCACUGAGCGGGAGUACCGCUCAGGGCUUUCGUACAGGAGCUGCUCCACCUGAGGAAAGACAUCGGACCGUCAGAGCCGGGGACUACCCUCAGCCCAGGGAGACACCUGUGUUUCCAGGGCUGGGACUGACCUCACAGGAUCACUGCUGGCUCUGCUAACAACCCCAAGGACACCAACGUUUCCCAUUCUGAGUACUUCUCCGCAAACCCUUUGUUUCAUUAAGGACUGUUUUACAUGAAGGGUGCAAAAGUAGGAUAAAAAUGAGAACCCUAGGGUGAAACACGUGACAGAAGAAUAAAGACUAUUGAAUAGUCCUCUUCUCUACCCAUGGACUUGGCAUUUUUAUAUUCGAUUUUAAGGAAAUAUAACUUAGUAGUAAAGAGAUGAGCAUUCAAGUCAGGCAGACCUGAAUUUGGGUCAAGGCUGCGCCACUCAAAAGCUAUAUGACCUCUAUAUGAGCAGCUUAUUCAACCUCUUUUAACCUCCAUUUUGUCAUCUGUAGAAUGAUGAUAAAUGCCUAGCUCAGAAGGAUUCCUAAUGAAUAAAUGAGUGACAGUGCAUGUAAACAGACUAGCUUAAUUAAUAUUAAUAUGAUUAGGAUGGGCUGGGCCCGGUGGCUCAUGCCUAUAAUCCUAGCACUUUGGGAGGUCAAGGAGGGAGGAUCACUUGGGCCCAGGAGUUCAAGGCCAGCCUGGGCAACAUAGCGGGACGCUGUCUGUACAAAAAAUAAUUUUUUUAAAUAAACGAUAUUAUGAGGAUGGUC
rnacentral:lncRNA from 1 species